rnacentral:rRNA from 1 species
GAUGAACGCUGGCGGCGUGCCUAAUACAUGCAAGUCGAGCGAACAGAUGAGGAGCUUGCUCCUCUGACGUUAGCGGCGGACGGGUGAGUAACACGUGGAUAACCUACCUAUAAGACUGGGAUAACUUCGGGAAACCGGAGCUAAUACCGGAUAAUAUAUUGAACCGCAUGGUUCAAUAGUGAAAGACGGUUUUGCUGUCCCUUAUAGAUGGAUCCGCGCCGCAUUAGCUAGUUGUUAAGGUAACGGCUUACCAAGGCAACGAUGCGUAGCCGACCUGAGAGGGUGAUCGGCCACACUGGAACUGAGACACGGUCCAGACUCCUACGGGAGGCAGCAGUAGGGAAUCUUCCGCAAUGGGCGAAAGCCUGACGGAGCAACGCCGCGUGAGUGAUGAAGGUCUUCGGAUCGUAAAACUCUGUUAUUAGGGAAGAACAAAUGUGUAAGUAACUAUGCACGUCUUGACGGUACCUAAUCAGAAAGCCACGGCUAACUACGUG